GCCUGGGUGGCUCAGUGGUUGAGCAUCUGCCUUCCACUCAGAACAUGAUCCUGGAGACCUGGAAUCGAGUCCCACAUCGGGCU
rnacentral:tRNA from 1 species